rnacentral:lncRNA from 1 species
AUACCUUGGAGACACUGCAGGUUCAGAUCCAGACCACCAAUAAAGCAAACAUUGCAGUAAACCAAGUCACAGAAAUGUUUUUGUUUCCCAGUGCAUAUAAAAGUUAUAUUGACACUAUAUUGUAGUCUAUUAAGUGUGUAAUAAGCACUGUGUCUACAAAAAAGAUGCAUGUACCUUAAUUAACAUACUUUAUUGCUAAAAAAUGCUAAUGAUUAUCUGAGCCUUCAUGGAGUGGUAACCUUUUUGCUGGUG